rnacentral:rRNA from 1 species
GACGAACGCUGGCGGCGUGCCUAAUACAUGCAAGUUGAGCGAUGAAGAUUGGUGCUUGCACCAAUUUGAAGAGCAGCGAACGGGUGAGUAACGCGUGGGGAAUCUGCCUUUGAGCGGGGGACAACAUUUGGAAACGAAUGCUAAUACCGCAUAGCAACUUUAAACAUAAGUUUUAAGUUUGAAAGAUGCAAUUGCAUCACUCAAAGAUGAUCCCGCGUUGUAUUAGCUAGUUGGUGAGGUAAAGGCUCACCAAGGCGAUGAUACAUAGCCGACCUGAGAGGGUGAUCGGCCACAUUUGGACUGAGACCCGGCCCAAACUCCUACGGGAGGCAGCAGUAGGGAAUCUUCGGCAAUGGACGAAAGUCUGACCGAGCAACGCCGCGUGAGUGAAGAAGGUUUUCGGAUCGUAAAACUCUGUUGGUAGAGAAGAACGUUGGUGAGAGUGGAAAGCUCAUCAAGUGACGGUAACUACCCAGAAAGGGACGGCUAACUACGUG